rnacentral:rRNA from 1 species
GACGAACGCUGGCGGCGUGCUUAACACAUGCAAGUCGAACGAGGUCCAUCCAGUCGCAAGACUGGGGAAGACCUAGUGGCGAACGGGUGAGUAACACGUGAGGAACGUGCCCCGGAGACCGGGAUAACAGCGGGAAACCGCUGCUAAUACCGGAUACCUUCUUUUGAUCGCAUGGUCAGCUGAAGAAAUGGAUUCCGCUCCGGGAGCGCCUCGCGGUCUAUCAGCUUGUUGGUGGGGUAACGGCCCACCAAGGCUUCGACGGAUAGCUGGUCUGAGAGGACGAUCAGCCACACUGGGACUGAGACACGGCCCAGACUCCUACGGGAGGCAGCAGUGGGGAAUCUUGCCCAAUGGGCGAAAGCCUGAGGCAGCAACGCCGCGUGUGGGAUGAAGGCCCUUGGGUUGUAAACCACUUUCAGCAGGGACGAAGAUGACGGUACCUGCAGAAGAAGCCCCGGCCAACUACGUGCCAGCCGCCGCCGUAAAAC